rnacentral:rRNA from 1 species
AAACGUGUGCGCCGAUUGACUAAGGGUUCCUGGGUCAAGCUGAUCUGCCCAGGGUAAGUCGGGACCUAAGGCGAGGCCGACAGGCGUAGUCGAUGGAGAACCGGUUGAUAUUCCGGUACCCGCUAUGCAGCGUCAGACAUCGAAUCAGGUGAUGCUAAGUCCGUGAAGCCCCUUGUUUUCUUCGGAAGACGGGUGUGGUGGAGCCGACGGUCCGAGCUUGUAGUAGGUGAGUGAUGGGGUGACGCAGUGAGGUAGUCCAGCCCGGGCGAUGGUUGUCCCGGGGUAAGGGUGUAGCCCGAGGAGCAGGGAAAUCCGUUCCUCGUUACAGGGGUGAGACCUGAUGCCGAGCCGUUUGUGGUGAAGUGGAUGAUCCUGUGCUGUCGAGAAAAGCCUCUAGCGAGUUGUGUGNAUGCCGAGCCGAUUGUGGUGAAGUGGAUGAUCCUAUGCUGUCGAGAAAAGCCUCUAGCGAGUGCUGUUGCGGCCCGUACCCUAAACCGACUCAGGUGGUCUGGUAGAGAAUACCGAGGCGUUCGGGUGAACUAUGGUUAAGGAACUCGGCAAAAUGCCCCCGUAACUUCGGGAGAAGGGGGGCCAUGUCUGGUGAGGGCACGUGCUGUCCGAGCUGGGUGUGGCCGCAGAGACCAGCGAGAAGCGACUGUUUACUAAAAACACAGGUCCGUGCGAAGCCGUAAGGCGAGGUAUACGGACUGACGCCUGCCCGGUGCUGGAACGUUAAGGGGACCGGUUAGUCACAUUUCGGUGUGGCGAAGCUGAGAACUUAAGCGCCAGUAAACGGCGGUGGUAACUAUAACCAUCCUAAGGUAGCGAAAUUCCUUGUCGGGUAAGUUCCGACCUGCACGAAUGGCGUAACGACUUCUUGACUGUCUCAACCAUAGGCCCGGUGAAAUUGCACUACGAGUAAAGAUGCUCGUUUCGCGCAGCAGGACGGAAAGACCCCGGGACCUUUACUACAGCUUGAUAUUGGUGUUCGGUUCGGCUUGUGUAGGAUAGGUGGGAGACUGUGAUGCGGACACGCCAGUGUUCGUGGAGUCGUUGUUGAAAUACCACUCUGGUCGUGCUGGAUGUCUAACCUGGGUCCGUGAUCCGGAUCGGGGACAGUGUCUGGUGGGUAGUUUAACUGGGGCGGUUGCCUCCUAAAGAGUAACGGAGGCGCCCAAAGGUUCCCUCAGCCUGGUUGGUCAUCAGGUGGUGAGUGUAAGUGCA